GCCCGCAAUAAACGGCUCCUAACUGUAACUUUCCGGUGCUUACCUCUAACUGAUAAAACUAGCUCCAACCCACCACCCUCCACUGACUUCCUUCGCACUCAGCCCACUCGCACCCGGGUGAAUAAACAGCCUUUGUUGCUCACACUUAGCCUGUUCAAGUUGUCUCUUCAAUUAGAUGCUCGCAUAACAUUUGGUGCCGAAAGCCCGGGAUAGGGGAACUCCUCCGGCAGACCUCUCCUCUAUCCUCCCGGUACCCACGUUCUCCCAUGCAAGAGACUUCCCUCGCCCUCAGGACCUCAGACCAGCUCCGCGAGCACUCCGGCCUCUGUCUAUGGAUAUGAAAUCCAACACCGGUCACGGACUCUUCUUGGGGAGACAGCCUUCCUUCAGUGUUCGGUCAAUGCCCGGGACGCCCGCCUUGGCCAUUUGCCAGCCACACAACCCAGGACCUCCAAUGGGGACGCCCACUGAGGAUCCUAGUGGUUGCUCUUUUCCUUGUCUCUUUCUUUCCCCCCAGUCUUUCCUUGUUCUAUCAUGGGCAAUUUCCCGCCUUCCAUCCCUCUUUCUUCUGUCUGGCUUGUGUCCUCAGAAACCUCAAACCUCUUCACCUUGCACCCAAUCUAAAGGCUAAACGUCUAAUUUUUUUCUGUAACACGUCCUGGCCCCAGUAUAAAUUAGAAAAUGGCGCUCAGUGGCCAGAAAACAGCACUUCCAAUUUCUCUAUUUUGUGGGACUUAGACAACUUCUAUGGAAAAAUGGGCAAAUGGGUCUGAGGUACCCUACUUCCAGGCAUUUUUUACAUACGAUCUCUCCCUAGCCUAUGCUUCCAAUGUAAUCCAUCCCCAAUUUUCCUUAUUUCCCUUCUGUCUACCCCUCCUUCUUCCACUGGCGAUGCUGACUCCUCUUUGUCUGUUGACCCCUCCGAUCUUUCUCCCCCACCACCUAUCCGAACCUGCUUCUAAUUCUCCCCCAGAACCUAUUUCUACCCACAAUCCACCCUCUUAUGCCCCUCCCAUUACCACCCUUCCUCACAUCCUCUAUGGCUUACAGUUUGGGCCUGCGACCAACCCCCAGGCCCCUGCCUAGCAAUUUCCCCUCGGAGAGGUGGCAGGAACCAAAGGAAUAGUUCGGGUUCAGGUCCCUUUCUCCCUGUUCGACCUUUCCCAAAUUAGUGAACAUCUAGGCUCUUUCCCAUCUGACCCCACCAAAUAUAUACGAGAAUUCCAAUACUUAACCCAGUCCUAUAAUCUUACUUGGAAUGACUUAAAUGUCAUCCUUACCUCUACCCUCGCUCCUGAGGAGUGAGAGUGGGUUUGGAUCCUAGCUCAAUCUUAGGCUGAUAACCGCCGGUGCCGUAAGCCUGGCCUCCAGUAAGGUGCUAGGGCAGUACCCUGUGAAGACCCCGGAUGGACUUACCAGGCCCUGGGACCCAGGCAUAGCCAGGCGGGACUACAUGAUCUCUUGCCUAGUUAAAGGGCUUCAGAAGGCUGCAUAUAAAGCCGUCAAUUAUGACAAACUAAAAAACAAAAACAAAAACAAAAAAAACCACUCAGAACAAAGAUAAAAAUCCAGCUCAGUUUAUGGCCUGUCUACCUGCCACCCUCAGGCGAUAUACAGCACUAGACCCUGAAGGGAUAGAAGGCCGCCUUAUUCUUAACAUGCAUUUUAUUACCCAGUCAGUUUCUGACAGUAGAAAGAAACUUCAAAAAUUAGAGUCUGGCUCUCAGAUCCCACAACAGGAAUUAAUCAACCUCGCCUUCAAGGUGUUCAAUAAUAGGGAAGAGACUGCCCGGCGACAGCGCAUUUCAGAACUACAGAUGCUUGCCUCCGCCAUAAGACAAACCCCAGCUGCACUGCCUACCUGCAAGAACUUCAAGGCAUCUAAACGCAACAUCCAACAGCCCCUCUGGGACUUUGCUUCAAGCGAUGAAAACCUGGCCACUGGGCCAAGGAAUGCCUGCAGCCUGGGAUUCCUCCUAAGCCAUGCCCCGCCUGUGCGGGCCCUCACUGGAAGUCUGACUGCCCGACUCUCAUCGCCACUUCCGGAGCUCCUGGAGCUCAAACCCAAAGCUCCCCACCGACUCCUUCCCAGAUCUCCUCGGCUUGGCGGCUGAAGACUGACGCUGCCCGAACGUCUCGGAGGCCCCUUAGACAAUCGCGGAUGCCGAGCUUCGGGUAACUCUUAGGGUGGAGGCAUAAAAAGACAGGAAUGUAAGGUCCUCUGAGCAGGCGGCGCCAUGGUCAAGCCAUCGUGACCCCUGUGACUCACACGUACACAUCCAGAAGGUCUCCUGGAGCCAGAAAGUCUGGGACGACAGGAAAACCACAAAAGAAGAAAAACGGCUAGUUCCUGUCUUAGCUGAUCAGCCAACCUUGUGACAUUCUAUCAUUGUAACAGGCUGUACCCUAACUGAUCAAUCAACCUCAUGACACUGUGCUCUGUAACCUUAUGAUAAUGUACCUUAUGACAUUCUUCCCCUGCCCUCAAUAAACAGCUCCGAACUAUAACUUUCCACUGCUUACCCCUAAAGUAUAAAACUAGCUCCAACCCCACCACUUCCUUUUCGGACUCAGCCCACCCGCACCCAGUGAAUAAACAACCUUGUUGCUCACAC
ensembl:lncRNA novel transcript